rnacentral:lncRNA from 1 species
UUUUUAAAGAGAGUGUGGCAUGGUAGCCCAGCUGCCACAAGGCCUUCUUCUACAGGUUGGAUUCAUACAUUGGUGCAUUGCCAAGCAUGGGCCCAGCUGCCUUGCUGAUGCUCAGCCCGUACCAACCCCAAACUCUCCAUUCCAACUUUCCUGGCCUCACUUGUCCCUUGGUGUUCUCCUUCAGGGUGCAGGCCUUACCCCUCCUGUUCUGGAGAGGGUUAAUACUGCUGUGUGCCUUGCUGACUGGCUUCUGCAGUUGAAAAACUGAAAUGCAAGCACUUGUAAAAGGAUUCUGCUCUCUAUCACUGAUGUCCAGACCAUAAUCAUGGUCCUGCUGCCCUGAGGGCUGUCACAGGUUCCUAUGCAGCCAAGGGGAAAGGGAGGGCAAGAGCCUUGAGCAACUGCACUCUCUUGUCUUGUUUAUGAAAUGAGUUUUACUCACGAAUUGAUCAUAAAUUUAUGAAAAACAUAGUUGAAUGUCAAAAUACUACUGUGUCAGUCUGUACUAGACUUCAGCUGAACUAAAUUUGGGUUCUGUACUAUUGAAUGCUGAGAUGUGUGAAAUUUGGCUGAGUACAGGACAGUUGUUAUCAUAUUUGUCUGUGCUGAAGGACUGAAAAUAGGUAUAUUGCCUCCAAGUUUGCACAGGUGGGAGAAUGAUGUGGAAGAAUGAGUCAUAUCAAUUUGAAAUAGGAAUGAAGGCUAAAAAGGAUUGGUUUAGUGUUUGUUUUUACUCUUGGUGUGACUCCAUUUUUAACCACUUUAUUAUCCUCUGUAGUUAUUUUUUGCAAAGACAUUUGCCAAGGAUUAGUUUUUGUUUGGUUGCAAAUACUAUAUGGCAGCUGGAAGCCUUUUUAUGAGGCUUUCAAAAGCUGAGAAACUGGUUGUCAAUGUGUGGAAAGUUCUUUGCUGGUACUCUAAACUGCCUUUCAGUAGGAUGUUGUAUAUUUAAUGACUGCUAGCCCAAUGGGGCAUGCAGAAUUUCCUGCUGUGGUCUUCUGUAAAAAUUUAUUGAAGAAAGACUUUGGAAAAUGUUUCUGGUAUGCAAUGAUGCAUGGAAAACAUUCACAUUUGUGUAAAAGUAAUGGAAAUCCUCUGAAACAGUUGCUACAUUAAAACUAAGCCAAACCCUUGGUGAUUCUAGCUGAGUUAUCUGCACACAGAUAUUG